rnacentral:rRNA from 1 species
AGAGUUUGAUCCUGGCUCAGGAUGAACGCUGGCGGCGUGCCUAAUACAUGCAAGUCGAGCGAACGGACGAGAAGCUUGCUUCUCUGAUGUUAGCGGCGGACGGGUGAGUAACACGUGGAUAACCUACCUAUAAGACUGGGAUAACUUCGGGAAACCGGAGCUAAUACCGGAUGAUAUUUUGAACCGCAUGGUUCAAAAGUGAAAGACGGUCUUGCUGUCACUUAUAGAUGGAUCCGCGCUGCAUUAGCUAGUUGGUAAGGUAACGGCUUACCAAGGCAACGAUGCAUAGCCGACCUGAGAGGGUGAUCGGCCACACUGGAACUGAGACACGGUCCAGACUCCUACGGGAGGCAGCAGUAGGGAAUCUUCCGCAAUGGGCGAAAGCCUGACGGAGCAACGCCGCGUGAGUGAUGAAGGUCUUCGGAUCGUAAAACUCUGUUAUUAGGGAAGAACAUAUGUGUAAGUAACUGUGCACAGCUUGACGGUACCUAAUCAGAAAGCCACGGCUAACUACGUGCCAGCAGCCGCGGUAAUACGUAGGUGGCAAGCGUUAUCCGGAAUUAUUGGGCGUAAAGCGCGCGUAGGCGGUUUUUUAAGUCUGAUGUGAAAGCCCACGGCUCAACCGUGGAGGGUCAUUGGAAACUGGAAAACUUGAGUGCAGAAGAGGAAAGUGGAAUUCCAUGUGUAGCGGUGAAAUGCGCAGAGAUAUGGAGGAACACCAGUGGCGAAGGCGACUUUCUGGUCUGUAACUGACGCUGAUGUGCGAAAGCGUGGGGAUCAAACAGGAUUAGAUACCCUGGUAGUCCACGCCGUAAACGAUGAGUGCUAAGUGUUAGGGGGUUUCCGCCCCUUAGUGCUGCAGCUAACGCAUUAAGCACUCCGCCUGGGGAGUACGACCGCAAGGUUGAAACUCAAAGGAAUUGACGGGGACCCGCACAAGCGGUGGAGCAUGUGGUUUAAUUCGAAGCAACGCGAAGAACCUUACCAAAUCUUGACAUCCUUUGACAACUCUAGAGAUAGAGCCUUCCCCUUCGGGGGACAAAGUGACAGGUGGUGCAUGGUUGUCGUCAGCUCGUGUCGUGAGAUGUUGGGUUAAGUCCCGCAACGAGCGCAACCCUUAAGCUUAGUUGCCAUCAUUAAGUUGGGCACUCUAAGUUGACUGCCGGUGACAAACCGGAGGAAGGUGGGGAUGACGUCAAAUCAUCAUGCCCCUUAUGAUUUGGGCUACACACGUGCUACAAUGGACAAUACAAAGGGCAGCGAAACCGCGAGGUCAAGCAAAUCCCAUAAAGUUGUUCUCAGUUCGGAUUGUAGUCUGCAACUCGACUACAUGAAGCUGGAAUCGCUAGUAAUCGUAGAUCAGCAUGCUACGGUGAAUACGUUCCCGGGUCUUGUACACACCGCCCGUCACACCACGAGAGUUUGUAACACCCGAAGCCGGUGGAGUAACCUUUUAGGAGCUAGCCGUCGAAGGUGGGACAAAUGAUUGGGGUGAAGUCGUAACAAGGUAGCCGUAUCGGAAGGUGCGGCUG